rnacentral:lncRNA from 1 species
CAUCGCUAGCAUACCUCUUUCUCUCUCCUUCUAUCUCUUCAUCUCCUUCUUUUCCUAUUCUUCCUCACCCAUUUUUCUUCUUUCAUGGCAGCUUCCUCCACCUCCAUUCAUUCUUCCAUCUCCUUUCUUUAUUUCUUAUCCACUUUUCUUCGUCCUCCUCCUUCAAACCACCCAUAAACCAUCCCCUUCUAUGAUGGCCCACUCCACCU